AGCAAAAUAAGAAAAAAGGGAAAAUUAAAGGAAAUGAGAAAAAAGGAAGAAAAAAUAGAAAAAAGAAAGAAAAUGAGAGAAAGAUAGAGAAAAAAUGAAGAAAAAUAAAGAGAAAAUGAAGAUACACAAAAGAAUGUAAAAAAAAAAGGUUAGAGUAUAUAUAUGAGAGAAAAGAAAGUAAAUGAAUGAAUAAUGAAAGAAAAAGGAAGGGAAAUUGAUAGAAAGUGGAAGAGAAAAUGAAAGAAAAUGAAAGAAAAUAUAAGAAAAUGAAAGAAAAAAAUAUGAGAGAAAAUAAAACAAAAAUCAAGUGAUCAAAGAAAGAUCAAUGAUAAAAGAAAAUUGAAAGAAAUGAAAGAAAAUUGAAGAGAAAAUUGAAGGAAAUGAAGAAAAUGAAAAAAAAUUAGAGUUAAUAAUUAAGAAAAAAAAAAAGAUAAGGGAGAAAUGAAGAAAUGAG
rnacentral:lncRNA from 1 species